rnacentral:tRNA from 1 species
CUAGAUUAGCAGGCCUCGAUCCUACAAAACUUAGUUAACAACUAAUAGCCCUAACCAGCGGACUUUAAUCUA